rnacentral:rRNA from 1 species
UACGUAGGGUGCAAGCGUUAAUCAGAAUUACUGGGCGUAAAGCGUGCGCAGGCGGUGAUGUAAGACAGAUGUGAAAUCCCCGGGCUCAACCUGGGAACUGCAUUUGUGACUGCAUCGCUGGAGUGCGGCAGAGGGGGAUGGAAUUCCGCGUGUAGCAGUGAAAUGCGUAGAGAUGUGGAGGAACACCGAUGGCGAAGGCAGCCCCCUGGGCUGAGAUUGACGCUCAGGCACGAAAGCGUGGGGAGCAAACAGG